UCCCCCAGUCCCGCCCCCUCCCCCCCGAUUUCUUUCCUGCUCAUUUCCUUCUCCACUUCUCUCUGUUCCUCCCUUCUCCAAAAUUGGAUGAGCACCAUUACCCUACCCAUUUCAGCCGAUUUCAUCUCCAUUUUCGAUCACCACCCCCACCCCAUUUUCCUCACAUGGAAGCUGAACCAACCUCGAUCGGCCUCUUCCUCUCUCGCACGUUGCUCAUCUUCUUAUCUCUCUCUCUCUCUCUUACUCAUUCUACCCUCUGACUUCGAACCCUAGGGCCUUCACAGUAGACCCUCUCUCUCUCUCCAUUGCAGAUUUAUUGUGGGUUUGGUGUUGCACGUGUUUUGGGAGUUCUUGGAGUUCUGAGUUGCCGAUCGGUGUUCGUGGGUUUUUGGGAUUUUUCCUAUAUUGCAGUGCAAUUUUGGGUUGUUGCUGACAAUCUCCCUCAGCAACUUCUAAGAAUGGAAACUUGUGGCUGCGUGUUAACAACCUCAGUUCAUACACUAACAAGUGUUGGUGUGGGGAUUUUUCGACCUUAGGUAAUCACAAUAUCAUUGCAACGUAUCCAAUGUUCCAUGAGAGGAUCACUUGGAUCAGUUGGUUCACACAAGCUUCCGUCAAUAAAGCCGAGCUUGUUUUUGAUCCUUAGUUCUCUCUUCAUUGAUCGAGCCCACGAGUAGUAGUUGUUGGCAUCCAAGCUAUGGGUAACAAGCAUGGAGCCAGUACCAUCAUUGGAGCCAAUGUGGUAUGGACUGUUGAGAUGAAUAGGAUCUUGGUUUGGGUUGGAGUGUUGGUUUUGGUUUUGGUUAUGGCUUUGUGAACUAUGCUCUUCCAUGACGGAGCUCUGAUACCAUGUAAGAAGUAUAAAAAAAUGUAUUGAAAAUGCUAAGAGCUAGAAAAUAUGAUGAAAGAGGUUUGUAAAGAGUUGUUUUUACUCUGUAUAUUUCACUUUUUUAUUUAUUUAAUUUAUAGCAUCUACAUGCAUGUCACUACACUACAAAGAGCCUGCUAGACGCACUACUCAACCAACAUUGCUUUUACACUGCAUAAAAGAAAUGGUAUGGCAGGUGACAAAAAGACACUAUAUGCAUACAAACAAAAAUCACUUUAUUCUCUAUUGCUUUCUUUACUGUUUUCUGUUUUCAUUUCCCUUUGUGAAUUCUUUCAUUUCCUUUGCUGACCAGCCAUCCAAUGCAGCAGCUUCCUUUUUCUUCAACAUUGAAGGAACUGAUACAAAGUUACAAAGGUUGCAAUGUUCAUGAUGUUUGACACUAAAUAAUUUUCAUGGUAAUCACAUUCAGAUGAGCAACCAUACUACUUCUUUCCAUCAUGAUCAUGCUGUAGGGACAUCACUUGUUCUGUUGGGAUUGCCAUAUGUAUCUGCUAUUUUGAUGAUGCAUAUGUUUGGAGUCGAUAAUUCAUUUUGGAUUGUUAUAUAUUGAUGAAUUGCCUUUUCUUUUC